CAAAUCUGAAGUACCUUCUUCUCAUUCUUUGUUACCCAUUCCGGUGGUGUUAGUUUUACUCCAAAAAUCUCGUAAAUCGCCUCCAUUAGAUUCCACCACCCUUCUGUUUUCUCACCCUCGGGGAUAAAGAUCCUCGUGCAUCUGUCGUUCUUUCCAUUCAUGACCCGCGAUAGAACCACAAACUUGCCUUUUUUAUUGUUAUUCACUGCCAUCCAUAACAUGUAUCCCAAAUUGC
rnacentral:lncRNA from 1 species